rnacentral:rRNA from 1 species
GAUGAACGCUGGCGGCGUGCCUAAUACAUGCAAGUCGAGCGAACAGAUGAGGAGCUUGCUCCUCUGACGUUAGCGGCGGACGGGUGAGUAACACGUGGAUAACCUACCUAUAAGACUGGGAUAACUUCGGGAAACCGGAGCUAAUACCGGAUAAUAUAUUGAACCGCAUGGUUCAAUAGUGAAAGACGGUUUUGCUGUCACUUAUAGAUGGAUCCGCGCCGCAUUAGCUAGUUGGUAAGGUAACGGCUUACCAAGGCAACGAUGCGUAGCCGACCUGAGAGGGGAUCCGGCACACUGGAACUGAGACACGGUCCAGACUCCUACGGGAGGCAGCAGUAGGGAAUCUUCCGCAAUGGGCGAAAGCCUGACGGAGCAACGCCGCGUGAGUGAUGAAGGUCUUCGGAUCGUAAAACUCUGUUAUUAGGGAAGAACAAAUGUGUAAGUAACUGUGCACGUCUUGACGGUACCUAAUCAGAAAGCCACGGCUAACUACGUG